rnacentral:rRNA from 1 species
GUCUACGGCCAUAUCACCCUGAAUGUGCCCAAUCUCGUCUGAUCUCAGGAGCUAAGCAGGGCCGGGCCUUCGUAGUACUUGGAUAGGUCACUGAGCAUUCUGUGUGGUCAACUGUGUGCU